UACGUAGGGUCCGAGCGUUAUCCGGAAUUAUUGGGCGUAAAGAGCUCGUAGGCGGUUUGUCGCGUCUGCCGUGAAAGUCCGGGGCUCAACUCCGGAUCUGCGGUGGGUACGGGCAGACUAGAGUGAUGUAGGGGAGACUGGAAUUCCUGGUGUAGCGGUGAAAUGCGCAGAUAUCAGGAGAACACCCGGUGGCGAAGGCGGGCUC
rnacentral:rRNA from 1 species